CUGUCUCUCUCUCUCCUUCAAAAAUAAAUAAAAACAUUAAAAGUAAGCUUUGAGUGAUUAGUAAAAGCAUAGAUAUUGAGGUCAGACAGCUGUGGUGAUUAAAAUAAUAAAGCACCUUGAACAUACAGUUGACCUUGAACACUUGGCUGGAUGAGGGGCGCCUGCUCCCCAUGUACUCAAAACAACUCACGUUACUAUUGACUCCCUCCAAACUUGACUACGCACAGCCUACUGUUGUCCAACACCAAAUCUGGGGAGAAGAGAACAUGAAAUAAGGAAGAGGGAUUAGGAGAGUGGCAGUAGAAAGGGAAAGGGGAGGCAAUUAUGAGGAACACGUUCAAGGUAGAGCCAAUAGAACUUGGUAACUGAUUUUGUGUGGGUUGAGGGAAGGAUAAAAAAAAUGUGUUCCAGCUGAUGUGAGCAGAAUGAAGUGGCAUUAACAGAAUAAUAAGUAUAACCGUAGAUACAAUUUGUUGAGUGCUGAUUGUGCUUCGGGCCCUGUGUGUCCAUUACCACUUAAUUUUAGCGACGUGACACUUAAUUUUAACAACUUUGGGAGAUUACCAUCUCCAUUCUGCAGAUGAAGAAACCAAGGUUCCUGGGAGUUGAAUUACAUCACCAAGUAUGGAUUUGAGAGCUGUCUUAUUUUAAACGCAUCAUGGAGAAUAAAGGAAGUUAGGAGGAGACGCGGCCACAGGUGAAAUAGAAUAACCAUCGGAAUCGCCUGUUUGCACUAAGGAACUUCUAGUAGGUUCCGAGGAGAAAUUGACAUCCCUUGGGCAUCGGGACAAGGGAUGGAGAAUGCUUUGUGUACCUUCCAUAUCUCAGUGGGCCUCUAGUGGUAGUAGAUGUUUAACAAAUAUGUGUGGAAAGAAUGAAUGAUGCCUGGCAAUCAUGCUGUGUUUCUUCAGACCAGUAACUGAAGUCCACUGAAUCAUGUUUCAAAGACAUGAGCCAUUAUCACAUUUCACCACUUACCCCUGUAGUUCUCAGCCUGGUAUCGUUCUAACGUUUACAAAGUCAUCUCACCAUGUUUACCUCUGUGUCAAGGUUUAGUUUACUCUGAGGAUUCUCUCUCCAACUUCGUUAGAAACCCACUGGUACGUAUUCUCAUCUUCAUUAACGGACAAAGCAGGGUGCAAGGAGCCCAGUGCGUUCCCCGGAAAAUAAAAUGGAGAUGGGCGCCCGGCAUGGUCCCAGAAAUAAAUCCACGACCACGCAGUCUUCUGUCAUCUAAGCAGACACUCAUCUGUGUAUCUCUAUGAUUAUAGUUGAAUUGGCCUCUAGGCUUCUGUAACUUUUCAGCUUAUGUGGGAACAGAAGUUGUCCUCUGCCCAAAAGGGUCGGAACCAGAGAUCACAACCCCAGGUGGCACCUGAGGCAGUCGAUGGCCCCGAUUCCUCUGACCAAGGAUUCUUGCCUUUCUUUUCCAGCUCUACUCUUACCCCCUCGUUCCUUGCUUUCCUUCAACUUUUCCAGCCCCUUCUCCUACUCCAUUCCUCUUGCUCUGCCUCUCCUUCUGUCCACCCUCUUCCAUCCUACUCCCAGAGAUCCUUCCCUCCCCACUCAUCCUGUUUCCUUGCCUCACUGGGCAGGGCAGUGCUGGGACCACCACCACGAAGCCCUGACGUCAUAGGUCAGAACACGGAGAGCCCAGAGCAGGGGUUUUUAACCGAUGAUCCAUAAAUGAGCUCCAGGAGUCCCGCGAACCCUUGGACAUUAUGUACAAAAGUUGGCCGUAGGCACUACCUGCCGUUAUUUUUGGAGCAGGGUCCAUGACGUUUAUCAGAGUCUCAAGGGAUUUCAAAACCCAAAAAAGGUAACAUCAAGUAGGCUUGGAUUGUCAAGUAAAGUAAAUGGUACUCUAAAGUAAGCAUCUUUUUUUUUUUUGUCACUUUAAAGUAAACCUUACCACUUGGUCUGGAGAAACCAGGUGGCCCUUAGCAGAUGAGAUUUUCUAGGAAUAUCCGCCUAUAUUUCCUGAAUGGGGCGAGCUACCAGAUUGUCAACAGCGCAUUAGGACGGACUAUUGAAUGAUGGUCAAUCUAAUUUCAAUAUCAGGGCUAAAGAGCUGCAGAUACCGACCCUUGAAAGCAAAGCAAAAGGGAGGGGUGGGAAUCUGUCACGGAACAUUGACAUUGUUGUUCAAGGCACUGGGAAUAUAGUGGUAAUAAGACAAACUGGAUUCCCUGAAUUCAUUGAAUUCUAGUGUAAGAAGCAAAUAAAUAUAUGAGCUCAGAGACUCGUAAAUGCUAUGAAUGAAAGAAAGCAGGGUAACGGAACAUGGUACUGGGGAGGCAACAUCAAACAGGGUGGUCAGAGAAGAGCUUUCUCAGAAGCCGACAUUGGGGUUAAUCUUGAGUGGUGACAAGCCAGAGAUGGGUAGGUCCUGGGAAAGAGCAAUUGGGCGGGUGGGGCAGGAAGCGGGAAACAACAAAUGCAAAGGGCUUGAGCUUGGAUUUGAACUUGAAGCAAAGAAAACCAGAGACGCUAGAGCAUAGUAAGCAAGAGAAGAAAAGGAUACAUGGAUGACACCAGAGUGGGGAACAGAGACCAGGUAAUGUACAGAAUUUCAGGCCAAGGUAAGGACUUGGGAUUUUAUACAAACCCACAUUUGAAAUCCACCGGAGCAUACUAAGCAGGGGAGCGAAGAUAAACAUUUAUUUAACAAAGAUUUGUUUGACAGCCUACUGUAUACGAGUCAUUUCCUAGUCAUGAGGGUCUAUGCCAGGCCCGGCCUCUGCUCUCAUGGAACUUACAUUCGAGUGAAACAAAUUAAAUGAACCCAGCAACAGGCAAACACCAGGGAAUGAUAAAUUUUAUAAAGAAGAUGAAGUCAAAAAGUGCGGCAGAAAGUGACCUGCCAGCGACUAUAGACUGAGUGCAGGAGAAAUGGCCAACACAGUGGCCCCAACUGAGAAACAAAUGCGCUAGAAUGUUUGAGGUAAGAACCAAAGACAAGGGGCAAGAUGGGGAGAGUGGUUCAAAACUGAGGUCAAAAAAGAAAUAAGAAGGUAGGUAAGGUUUAGAUUAAGAAAAUGAAACGGCAUUGGAGGGUUUUAAACACGAUGUCUUCGUCUGUUUGAGCUGGUAUAGCAAAACACCAUAAAUGGGGCGGCUUCUAAGAAAUAGAAAUUUCUCUCUGCCAGUCCUGGAGCUGAAAGUUCAAGAUCAAGGCACCGGCGGUGUCCAUGUCUGGUAAGCGCUUGCUUCCUGGUUUAUAGGCGGCUGUCCUCUCAUUGUUCUUCCCAUGGCGGAAGGGGUGAGGGGGCUCCGCGGGGUCUCUUGUGAGAGCAUACAUCUCAUUCAUGACAGUUUCACACUCAUCACCUAAGCAUCUCCCAAGGCCCCACGUUCAAAUACUAUCACGUUGAGCAUUAGGUUUCAAUGUCUGAACUUUGGAGGGACACAAACAUUCAGUAUUAACACUGGAGAACAACGUCCACUGACUUUUACUCUAAAAGUAAAACCCUUCAAUGCAGAGAAUGGGUUGCUAGUGUGGAGAUGGGGUUGAGAGGAAGCUGUUUAAGAAAGUACAGCGGUAACUUAGGCCCCAAAUGACGGUACCUUGGACAAGUACCGUCGUACUAGACAAGGUCAAAAGGAUUAGAUUUGGGAUCUUUCUUUUGUAGGUAAAGCCGACGGGACUCUCUAGAGGCUAUGACGUAGAAGGAAGAGGAGGACAAGGAAUUAAACUUCUGGAUUUUGGUUUGACCAGUUAAAUAAAUGGUACACCACUUACUGUGGUGGAGAAGGUAUCCACUACAAGGUAAAUAGUUGCAUUCCCACUUUACAGAUGAGGAAACUAAGCUUCAACAAAUAUGAUUCCAAAAUCUAUGCUUUAUCCACCACAGUGUCUUUGCCAGGAGUGUGGAUUAUCCAGGUUUGAUUAAUGGGCAUAGGAAAAAGGAUAUAUAUAGCAAAACAGGCAAGUAUCUUGACAGUGUAUGUAAGGUGCGUGUGUGCAUGCCUCUAUCUGUGUGUGUAUGUGUGUGUGUGUGUUUGUAAUCUUGCUGAGAGAAGUGUAGAUCAGCUCUCUUAUUUUUUAUCCCUUCCUUUAUCUUCUCCAUCUCUGAAAGUGGAAGGAUAGUGGAGAAAUCAGAAGACUCCAGACUUGAGACCAGCCUGUGCUGCGAGUACCAGGAUGAACUCUGACAAACUGAGGCACUGAAGCCUCUCGAAAAACCCAAGAGGACCAGGUUGGGAGAGCUGUGCUGGUGAACGCGACGAGGCUCAGGAGGAGUGGCGGCUGGAGAAGUCUGGAAGCCCCUGCGCCCUUUCCCCACACCUUGCCCCAGGCAUCUUCAUCUGACCCGGUGAUUCACCAGCACACCCUUUACUGAUGUAGGAAACAUCUACGCUGCAACUGUCUCUGUGGCCUAGUCUCACCUCAAAAUCUGGUCCGGGGAUCUU